rnacentral:rRNA from 1 species
GACGAACGCUGGCGGCGUGCUUAACACAUGCAAGUCGAACGGAAAGGCCCUGCUUUUGUGGGGUGCUCGAGUGGCGAACGGGUGAGUAACACGUGAGUAACCUGCCCUUGACUUUGGGAUAACUUCAGGAAACUGGGGCUAAUACCGGAUAGGAGCUCCUGCUGCAUGGUGGGGGUUGGAAAGUUUCGGCGGUUGGGGAUGGACUCGCGGCUUAUCAGCUUGUUGGUGGGGUAGUGGCUUACCAAGGCUUUGACGGGUAGGCGGCCUGAGAGGGUGACCGGCCACAUUGGGACUGAGAUACGGCCCAGACUCCUACGGGAGGCAGCAGUGGGGAAUAUUGCACAGUGGGCGGAAGCCUGAUGCAGCAACGCCGCGUGCGGGAUGACGGCCUUCGGGUUGUAAACCGCUUUCGCCUGUGACGAGGCGUGAGUGACGGUAAUGGGUAAAGAAGCACCGGCUAACUACGUG